rnacentral:rRNA from 1 species
GACGAACGCUGGCGGCGUGCUUAACACAUGCAAGUCGAACGGAAAGGCCCUGAUUUUGUGGGGUGCUCGAGUGGCGAACGGGUGAGUAACACGUGAGUAACCUGCCCUUGACUUUGGGAUAACAUCAGGAAACUGGGGAUAAUACCGGGUAGGAGCUCCUGCUGCAUGGGGGGGGUUGGAAAGAUUCGGCGGUUGGGGAUGGACUCGCGGCUUAUCAGCUUGUUGGUGGGGUAGUGGAGUACCAAGGCUUUGACGGAUAGCCGGCAUGAGAGGGGGAACGGCCACAAUGGGACUGAGAGACGGCGCAGAAGCCUACGGGAGGCAGCGGUGGGGAAUAUUGCACAAUGAGCGGAAGCCAGAUGCAGCAACGCCGCGUGCGGGAUGACGGCCUUCGGGUUGUAAACCGCUUUCGCCUGUGACGAAGCGUGAGUGACGGUAAUGGGUAAAGAAGCACCGGCUAACUACGUG